rnacentral:rRNA from 1 species
GAUGAACGCUGGCGGCGUGCCUAAUACAUGCAAGUCGAGCGAACAGACGAGGCGCUUGCUCCUCUGACGUUAGCGGCGGACGGGUGAGUAACACGUGGAUAACCUACCUAUAAGACUGGGAUAACUUCGGGAAACCGGAGCUAAUACCGGAUAAUAUAUUGAACCGCAUGGUUCAAUAGUUAACGACGGUUUUGCUGUCACUUAUAGAUGGAUCCGCUCCGCAUUAGCUAGUUGGUAAGGUAACGGCUUACCAAGGCAACGAUGCGUAGCCGACCCGAGAGGGUGAUCGGCCACACUGGACCUGAGACACGGUCCAGACUCCUACGGAAGGCAGCAGUAGGGAUUCUUCCGCAAUGGCCGAAAGCCUGACGAAGCAACGCGGCGUGAGUGAUGAAGGUCUUCGGAUCGUAAAACUCUGUUAUUGGGAAAGAACAAAUGUGUAAGUAACUAUGCACGUCUUGACGGUACCUAAUCAGAAGGCCACGGCUAACUACGU